AGGGAAUAUUGCGCAAUGGGGGAAACCCUGACGCAGCGACGCCGCGUGAGUGAUGAAGGCCUUCGGGUCGUAAAGCUCUGUUGCAAGGGAAAAAUAAAUGAUUGUACCUUGCGAGGAAGGAUCGGCUAACUUCGUGCCAGCAGCCGCGGUAAGACGAGGGAUCCUAGCGUUGUUCGGAAUCAUUGGGCGUAAAGCGGGUGUAGGUGGCUUUGUAAGUCAGAUGUGAAAGCCCAGGGCUCAACCCUGGAAGUGCAUUUGAUACUGCGAAGCUUGAGUGCUGGAGAGGCUAUUAGAAUACCUGGUGUAGUGGUGAAAUACGUAGAUAUCAGGUGGAAUACCGGAGGCGAAGGCGGAUAGCUGGCCAGACACUGACACUCAGACCCGAAAGCGUGGGGAUCAAAC
rnacentral:rRNA from 1 species